rnacentral:miRNA from 1 species
UUCAAACUGUGAGAAAUGUGUCAGGUUGGCCAAAUAGUUCGUUCGGGUUUGUCCAUAACACCUUAACGAACUUUGUGGCCAACCCAAUAGAAGC